rnacentral:rRNA from 1 species
AUUGAACGCUGGCGGCAUGCCUUACACAUGCAAGUCGAACGGCAGCACGGGAGCAAUCCUGGUGGCGAGUGGCGAACGGGUGAGUAAAGUAUCGGAACGUGCCCAGUCGUGGGGGAUAACGUAGCGAAAGUUACGCUAAUACCGCAUACGAUCAAUGGAUGAAAGCGGGGGAUCGCAAGACCUCGCGCGAUUGGAGCGGCCGAUAUCAGAUUAGGUAGUUGGUGGGGUAAAGGCUCACCAAGCCGACGAUCUGUAGCUGGUCUGAGAGGACGACCAGCCACAUUGGGACUGAGACACGGCCCAGACUCCUACGGGAGGCAGCAGUGGGGAAUUUUGGACAAUGGGCGAAAGCCUGAUCCAGCCAUGCCGCGUGCAGGAUGAAGGCCUUCGGGUUGUAAACUGCUUUUGUACGGAACGAAAAGGUUUGGCCUAAUAAGCUGAGCUCAUGACGGUACCGUAAGAAUAAGCACCGGCUAACUACGUGCCAGCCGCCGCAGUAA